rnacentral:lncRNA from 10 species
CAUCCUCUUCUUUUAUCAUUAGGCUCACAAACACAGGAGUCUGUCUACAGCAUGAAAACUUGAGAGUGUUUUUCUUCAACUUGCUUAUCUUUGAAGAUCCAACGAUAAAGCAUUAUAAAAGAAAGGCACCUUGAUUUUAGGACAACUGCCUAGCUUGCUUUUGCAUUGGUCUAAUUUCUUGAUCUCUGUUUAUUAGGCAUUGAAAAUAAACAAAAAAGAUGAAACAGCCUGACUGUCACAUCAAUUUGGGACAACUCAGUUUCCGUACUUGCAUUGGAAUUGACCAAAUUGUCCUGAAUAUAUUCUAUUCAUCAACAGUUCAUUUCUAGUAAUACAAUGACUAUCAAUAGCAACAGAAAAUAAACCCACUUCCUCCCCUGGCCAUCUCUUCCCACUGACUUCUUCUGGGAGGAGGCCUUUGAAUAAGAAACUUCUGCUAAUAUUCAGAGGAAGACCACAGCUGUGUUGAAGGGUUCAGCUUGGAGAUAGCUGAACUAUUCUGAGUAAUAAAAUGGAAAGAGUGGUUCUGGCUUUUAUUUUUUUGCCUUUGGGAAGGAUGGGUCAAAGAAAUGAGGAAAAGAAAAAAGGGUGAGCUACAGGGAGAAGGCAGGAGCCUGAGUUACAAAAUACCUGCUGUUUUUGAAGGACGGAGACUGCCAAUAUUUUACUUUUCCAGCUCAAGGUGCAAUGUAAACCCCUCUGGCUCCUCAAACCUUCGGUGAAGCCUGUCCUGCACACACAUGCCUUUGAUAAGUGGUCUGCAGUGAAAACUAAGGGAAACUGCUGAGUCCUUGUUUAGGUUAUUGCAGUAUAGCACAGGGUCAGGGGGGCAAUCCCCAAACCCAUCCAAGUUAGAAGAAGCAGGAGCCGGAAGCUAGAAGUGACCUUGAGAAAUUGAGCCAGUUGCUCCUUCAUAGAUCUGCAGAGAGCAUCAGAUUUUUUGAAUAACACACAGGAUGAUGUUUGGAACUAACUUUGUCCUGAUUUUAAGGAGCACGGUAACAUAGCUUUUAUAUUUCCUACAUUGGCUUUUCUACUUUAAAAUAAUGUUGAUGCUUGUAAUUCUCUGUGCUUUCUCAGUAGUUCAGAAUUCAGCAAUCUCUUCAAAUGGAUUGCUCCAUAAAGCCCAGUAUUUUCUGUGGGUUUCACUGACCGAAAAGAAGGGAGAUUUGCAAUGAUGGUUGAAGGAAUAAAAAAGAAUUAAGAUUUUUGAGAAAGAACACAGUUUAGAAGAUGAGAAAGAAGAAGAAAGUGGGAAAAUGGGAGGGAGAAAGUUGGUUGGGGGCAGGUGAUGGAAUGUUCCUUGCUAGGUUUUGUAGCACAGGCUGCUCCACCCAAUCCUGAGGAGCUAUGGACAAUCUUAGGGUUAGUGGGGAGAGCAGGGCCCCCAGCUGGUAGGUACAGACCUAGUGGGAGAACUGGACACUGUACCUGGUUGCAUGCCACUCAGCCCGAGAACAACUAAUUUCUCCCCAUGAGGACUAAGAACUCCCAGAUUCAGAGAAAUCAAAGGCAGCCCCUUGCUACAAAGAAAUGAAACUUGCUGCUUGUUAAAUGGCUUGUAUCAGGUCUAGAAAAUUCUCUUUAACUCAAAGAAACAGCGAUUACUGAAAUGCAUUCUAAAGGCUUGCCUUAUUCUCCU